rnacentral:rRNA from 1 species
AUGUUGGUCACACUCACCACCCUGCUGCUCUCCCUAAUCCAGCAAUGGGAGCUCAUCCUCCUAGCACUCGUUUCUGUUGUUACCCUCCUGCUGUUGACACGGAGCCGGAGCAGGUGUUCCCAGAAAGAGAUGAAGCUGCCACCAGGUCCAGCGCCGGUGCCUUUCCUGGGCAACCUGCACCAGCUGGGUCGGCUUCCGCAUCGAACUUUGCGUGAUCUGGCACGGCUUCACGGGCCGGUGAUGCAGCUUCAGCUCGGCAAAGCACCGACCGUGGUUUUGUCGUCGCCGGAUGCGGCAUGGGAGGGGCUCAAGGUGCAUGACCUCGACUGCUGCACACGGCCUGUGUCCCCCGGGCCGAAGCGCCUCACCUAUGACCUCAAGAACGUGGCAUUCGCACCAUUUGGCUCAUAUUGGCGCAACAUUCGUAAGCUCCUGGUGGUCGAACUUCUCAGCGGGCGCCGCGUUAAGGCCGCAUGGUACGCACGGCAGGAGCAGGUGGACAAACUAAUAAGCACCCUUAUGCGUGCGGGAGGGAAGCCAGUGGCGCUGGACGAGCACAUCUUGAGCCUCUCCGAUGGCAUCAUCGGCACAGUGGCUUUUGGCAACAUCUACGGCAGCGAUAAGUUCACACAGAAUAACAACUUCCAGCACGCGCUGGACGAGGCAGCAGAGGUGUUAUCCAGCUCCUCGGCCGAGGACUUCUUCCCCAAAGCCAUCGGCCGGCUCAUCGACCAUAUCACCGGCGCCUUUGCCCGGCGCGAGCGCAUCUUCAAGCAACUCGACGCCUUCUUCGAGAUGGUCAUUGAGCAACACCUGGACCCUAAGCGCACCAAGCCCGACAACGGCGGGGAUCUCGUCGACGUGCUCAUCACCCACUGGAAGGAGCAUCGUGGCAAACUCAACUUCACUAGGGACCAUGUCAAGGCCCUAAUCUUCGACACGUUCAUUGCUGGUGUUGACACGAGCUCUGUGACGAUUCUGUGGGCGAUGUCCGAGCUGAUCCGCAGUCCGCGUGUGCUAAGCAAGGUGCAAGCCGAGAUCUGGGCUGUUGUGGGCAGGAACGAUAGGGUGCGGUCAGAAGAUGUGUCCAAACUCGAGUACCUUAAACUAGUGGUGAAGGAGACCCUGCGGCUGCACCCACCGGCACCACUGCUAGUGCCGAGAGAAACCAUGCGGCACAUCCAGAUUGGCGGCUACGAUGUGCCAGCAAAGACACGGAUCUACGUAAAUGCAUGGGCGAUUGGUAGAGACCCAACAAGCUGGCCUAACCACCCAGAAGAGUUCAACCCUGAGAGGUUUGAGGGGAACGAGAUUGACUUCAAGGGGGAGCAUCCUCAGAUGCUGCCGUUCGGCACGGGGCGACGGAUAUGCCCAGGCAUAUCAAUGGGCAUUGCCACUGUGGAGUUUACGCUUGCCAAUAUGCUAUGCUGCUUCCAGUGGGCGCUUCCUGAUGGGAUGGAGCCUGAAGAUGUCAGCAUGGAGGAGGAAGGAAAAAUAAACUUCCACCGCAAAACCCCGCUCAUACUAGUGCCCACCAUACGUUAG